AUUGAACGCUGGCGGCAUGCCUUACACAUGCAAGUCGAACGGUAACAGGUCUUCGGACGCUGACGAGUGGCGAACGGGUGAGUAAUACAUCGGAACGUGCCCAGUCGUGGGGGAUAACUACUCGAAAGAGUGGCUAAUACCGCAUACGAUCUGAGGAUGAAAGCGGGGGACCUUCGGGCCUCGCGCGAUUGGAGCGGCCGAUGGCAGAUUAGGUAGUUGGUGGGAUAAAAGCUUACCAAGCCGCCGAUCUGUAGCUGGUCUGACAGGACGACCAGCCAAACGGGGAAUGAGACCGGGCCCAGACGCCAACGGGGGGCAGAAGGGGGGAAUUUUGGACAAGGGGCGAAAGCCUGAUCCAGAAAUGCGGCGGGCAGGAUGAAGGCCUUCGGUUUGUAAACUGUUUUUGUACGGAACGAAAAAGCUUCCCCUAAUACGGGAGGCCCAUGACGGUACCGUAAGAUAAGCACCGGCUAACUACGUGCCAGCCGCCGCAGUAAGAC
rnacentral:rRNA from 1 species